UAUGGUAACACAGAUUACUAAAAAAAGCAUUUACUGAAAUUUUAUUGGAUUGCAUUUUUUAAACAAAGUAUAUUCCUCUGUCUGAAAAUAUUUAAUGGAAAUAGGAGGGUUAGAAAAGUGGUCAUUGUAUAUGCCAAAUAUGUGAUUUUCUGGCUUUAUGGAGCAUUAAACUACCUUAUAUAUAUAUGAUUCAUUAAACAAUAAGGUAUUACUGUUGAAAAUACAUUGAAUGUUUUCAAAUUUAAUGUACAGUUAAUAAGAACUUAUAAAAAUUUUCUAUUAAAAUAGAAAAGCUAUAUUGACUCAAAUAUUCUAGUUGAAAUUAAAGAAUAUUUCAUGUUAUUAUAAAGUUUAUAUUUUAUGAAGAGACAAAUGCCAUAGGGGAAGAAUGGACAGUUAUGAGUUUGAAUAUUGAUUUUAUCAUUUAGUAGCCAGUUAACUUUAGAUUUUGCCUAAUCAUUCUGUAUAUUAUGGUUGGUUUGUUUUAAUUUGGGUCCUGACUUACUUCACAGAUUUUGGGUUAAUACUAAUGGUGUAAUUAAUCUCUCCAAAACACCUAAUAAUGCCUGACACCUUUAGUUAAUAUUUAUAUUUUUGUAUUCACAGAAGCUCUUCUUACCCUCUAUGGUCCUACUCAUUUCAUUGACUGAUGCUGUCUAUACUUUUGAUUGAAAAAAAAAACUGAUGUUCACAUCAAUGACUUCAAGCAGAUGGCUUUAUUCAUCUUGCUUUUUUAUGUACCUUUCUUGUUUAUUAAGAAGAGAGCUUAUUCUUUGUUUAAUAUUCAGCACUCUAUGGGUGCUCUUUGGUAGCAUGGUAGCAUAUGGAAAUCCUGAGUCAUUCCUCCUGGUAUAUUGAAGAUCAUCAAGAUACCACUGAAGGCUUUAAACAAGAUUUGGAGAGGGGAUGAAUGAUGAGGAUGACUGUUUCCUCCAUGAAGUCUGGAGCCUCCCAUAGGAAGAAUCAAAGGCUGGAGUUGACUUGAAUGCUGGGAGCUAGAAUUAUCUGGAACCUUUUUCAGCUCCAUUCUGGCUCCAGGAGUAGGAUGACUUGAAUUUGCUGACAUGAGCACACGCCCUUCUCCUGUGGCUUGGCUGGUGUUUUGCUUUCUAAACAGCUAAAAAAAAAAAAAAAAAAAAAAAAAAAAAGUUACAAACCUUGUUAUCAUAACACUUAAAUUAAUUUUUAAGCAAAUUCAGCCUAACUCAUUAAUGAGCAUACCAGCAGGACGAUAACCUACAUCCCCAAUAAGACAUUUUCUAAAGUCUCCCUAGCUCAAGAAGUUAGAAUCUAAAGUUGAGAUUCUGCAUUUUGAUUAAUAUGAACUAUAAACACUAUAUAACAAAUGGUGGUUCUAAAGGAUACAUGCUCAUUAGUAAUAUAAUAUUCUAAGAUUUCCUUUUUGGCUGCAUUAUGAAUUAUGUAACAGCACAAUUUUUCUGUGCAAAAUUAUCAGUAGAGAUGCAAACAAUUUAAUUAUAAAUGGAAAUUUGGAAUGCAACCAUUUUUCAUUUAUAGCUGCUAAUCUGUAGAGGUAAAUGGCUAUCAGUCAAGAACACAGGUUUAUACAUAUAUCUUGAUUACUUAGGUUUGAAGACUAUUUUUCUUUUCACAUAACCAACACCAGAUUUUGUAAUCAAAACAGGUAAAGAUUCUUUUGUAGUUUCACUGAUUUUGCCAUAUGAAAAAGAAAUUUUUUCUGCUGUGAUAUUUUCAUGUGAUACUAAGUCUCUAAUGUCUAUAUCAGUUGCUUAUAAUUUCUAAUUUAUUUAAAAAUUUAUUGUUUCAGCUGUGAAAUUGUACAGUGUAAACUUGUAACUUUUUUGGAGUCAGUCAGAACCAAAACAGAUUUACUGUCUAAGAUCAAUUUCUAUUUGUAGAAUUUAAUGCUAAUGGUAGUAUUAUAUAAAGUAGCUUCUUAAGAAUUGCAUAGUUUUAAUUAAAUAUUCUCUUUGC